AAUGAGGCAGAAAUGAUGACGGGGUUACCAGUUUCUGAUGUUGUGCAAGCUGAAACAGCAAUAGAUGUGUUGUUAGGCAAAGGUUGUCGGUAUGCUAUUAUUACAUUAGGAGAGAAGGGUACAGUGUUUGCAUCACAAGAGAACCAGAAGCCUACUUAUAUACCAGCAACGAAGGUGAAGGCAGUAGAUACAACAGUAAGAUGCUCUUUUUGAAUUAACUUAAGUACUUCCGAAAGGACUGUUUUUGUUGUUGUAGUUUUGAAAGAUCAUAAAAAUAUAAGUAGUCCC
rnacentral:lncRNA from 1 species